rnacentral:rRNA from 1 species
GACGUAGGGCGCGAGCGUUGUCCGGAUUUAUUGGGCGUAAAGAGCUCGUAGGCGGCUUGUCGCGUCGACCGUGAAAACUUGGGGCUCAACCCCAAGCCUGCGGUCGAUACGGGCAGGCUAGAGUUCGGUAGGGGAGACUGGAAUUCCUGGUGUAGCGGUGAAAUGCGCAGAUAUCAGGAGGAACACCGGUGGCGAAGGCGGGUCUCUGGGCCGAUACUGACGCUGAGGCGCGAAAGCUAGGGGAGCAAACAGG